rnacentral:rRNA from 1 species
UAAAGGUAUUCCGGUAGACGAUGGGGAUGCGUUCCAUUAGAUAGUAGGCGGGGUAACGGCCCACCUAGUCUUCGAUGGAUAGGGGUUCUGAGAGGAAGGUCCCCCACAUUGGAACUGAGACACGGUCCAAACUCCUACGGGAGGCAGCAGUGAGGAAUAUUGGUCAAUGGGCGAGAGCCUGAACCAGCCAAGUAGCGUGAAGGAUGACUGCCCUAUGGGUUGUAAACUUCUUUUAUAAAGGAAUAAAGUCGGGUAUGGAUACCCGUUUGCAUGUACUUUAUGAAUAAGGAUCGGCUAACUCCGUGCCAGCAGCCGCGGUAAUACGGAGGAUCCGAGCGUUAUCCGGAUUUAUUGGGUUUAAAGGGAGCGUAGAUGGAUGUUUAAGUCAGUUGUGAAAGUUUGCGGCUCAACCGUAAAAUUGCAGUUGAUACUGGAUAUCUUGAGUGCAGUUGAGGCAGGCGGAAUUCGUGGUGUAGCGGUGAAAUGCUUAGAUAUCACGAAGAACUCCGAUUGCGAAGGCAGCCUGCUAAGCUGCAACUGACAUUGAGGCUCGAAAGUGUGGGUA